GACGAACGCUGGCGGCGUGCUUAACACAUGCAAGUCGAACGGUAAGGCCCUUCGGGGUACACGAGUGGCGAACGGGUGAGUAACACGUGGGUGAUCUGCCCUGCACUUCGGGAUAAGCCUGGGAAACUGGGUCUAAUACCGGAUAGGACCACUGCCUGCAUGGGUGGUGGUGGAAAGCUUUUGCGGUGUGGGAUGGGCCCGCGGCCUAUCAGCUUGUUGGUGGGGUGAUGGCCUACCAAGGCGACGACGGGUAGCCGGCCUGAGAGGGUGACCGGCCACACUGGGACUGAGAUACGGCCCAGACUCCUACGGGAGGCAGCAGUGGGGAAUAUUGCACAAUGGGCGCAAGCCUGAUGCAGCGACGCCGCGUAAGGGAUGACGGCCUUCGGGUUGUAAACCUCUUUCAGCAUCGACGAAGCGAAAGUGACGGUAGGUGCAGAAGAAGGACCGGCCAACUACGUGCCAGCCGCCGCCGUAA
rnacentral:rRNA from 1 species